rnacentral:rRNA from 1 species
GCAAGUCGAGCGUGAAGGUUAUGAAUGAUUCUUCGGAUGAAUGAUUAACUGGAAAGCGGCGGACGGGUGAGUAACGCGUGAGUAACCUGCCCUACACACUGGGAUAGCCAUUGGAAACGAUGAUUAAUACCGGAUAACACAUUUAUAACACAUGUUAUUGAUGUCAAAGAUUUAUCGGUGUAGGAUGGACCCGCGUCUGAUUAGUUUGUUGGUGAGGUAACGGCUCACCAAGACUACGAUCAGUAGCCGACCUGAGAGGGUGAUC